rnacentral:lncRNA from 1 species
UUCGGAAAUGAGUUUCAAGGACAGUUGCCAACGAAGCUAAGUUAUCCCAAGAAAAUCUUGAAGCAAAAUAAUCCAAGUUACUCCAACAAAACGACUGUUAUCAUCCCCAAUUUCCCCGUUCGAGGCACGACGGAGGGAGAAGACAGUGAUCGAUAUGAUUUUAGUGACGUUUACAAAUCCAGUCUAGUUCAAAAAAGAAGAAAAAAA